rnacentral:rRNA from 1 species
CACGUAGGGUGCGAGCGUUGUCCGGAAUUAUUGGGCGUAAAGAGCUCGUAGGCGGUGUGUCGCGUCGGCCGUGAAAACCCGCGGCUCAACUGUGGGCGGGCAGCUGAUACGGGCAGGCUGGAGUUCGGUAGGGGAGACUGGAAUUCCGGGUGUAGUGGUGAAAUGCGCAGAUAUCAGGAGGAACACCGGUGGCGAAGGCGGUUCUCUGGGCAUUACCUGACGCUGAGGAGCGAAAGCAUGGGGAGCGAACAGG